CAAAAGCCAUGCCUUCUCAUUGCGCUUAGGCUAAUUGCAUGGACAUUCAUCUUCAGUCUUAUUUUUGGCAGAUAUUAUUGUUUCCACAGUCCGUCCUUCUCUCAUCUCUGCUGCCUCUCCAAGAGAGAGAACAAGGAGUUGCACUCAGUGCUCCUUAUGGGCCCUUUCCAACUCUGGAUAUUCUGUUGCUGUGGAUCAUCUGUUCUCCCACUCUAAAUGGUUUGGUUUAUUACAGAUUCAAAAGCUCUGUAUGGUGCAGCUUUUUGGAGCAUAUGAUUAUAAAGCCGUAUUCUGCAUACAUUCAGGAUAAGAUACACUGCAGCACUGAGAGAUGUGGGCUUUGUUCCAGGAGCGUUUGUUCUCACAGGCUUACAGUGCUGAGUAGCUGCAGCCGGUAGGCAGGUUCUCGCCUUUCCUUGUCAUUCCACAUAGACUCACCACAGCAUUUUUCAUACUCCACAACGAAUUAUCCAUGCAUUAUUAGAUAGCCUUAUUUCCCAACACCUCUGCCUAAUCCCAUGCUGUACUUUUCUUGCGUCCUGCAGUACCUUUUGUAGUGACGCAACCCAGAGAUCUGAUUUUACUCUUUGGGGUAUGAUACAAUUACAGAGGUGGGUUUUUAAAAGCACUGCCUUCAUAUAGCAUUGUGCAAUUGAUAGCAUAUUGCAUUCUUUCUGCUACCUUAUUGUUGAAGUGAUGGAACAGCAUCUUCGUUUUCCACUCUAAUAAGCAGAACAUAUCUUGAAGCUAGAACUGAGUAGAAGAAAUUUAACCCUGGAUUUGUGUCCGAGGAGUACAUAAAUACUGAAAGCAAGGAUUUUCUCAGGACAACAACUGAAGAGAUGAAGAGAAACACAAGUGCUGUUGUAAAUGCCUGCAGACUCAAAUCCUGCCAGAGGCUCCAGGUGCAACAGGAGAAGCCAGCAGAGGGAGGCACGCCCAUUUUUACUGAAAGGAUUGGAAAAGGGUACUGGAGUGAAACUGCAGUUGUCUACAAACAGAAGGAUUCUUCCACUUGCCAGCCACACGUCUCUGUCAAGAAAAAAAGAAGUUGGAGCUGCCAUUAUGAAAUUUUAUUCAAACAAACUUUUGCAAAGGAGAAGAGUGGAAGACCAAAGACGGUGUCUUGAAAGAAAAUAGUCUUUAUUUCGAGGAUUGGAAGAAGAGAAAAAGUUAAGGCUAAGAAGAGAGUUGCUCAGAGGAGUUUGGCCAUAUUAAGAGCAGAGCUGGAAGUUAUCCCAACGUGUAGGAAGGACGAGAUGACAGCGAGAAACCAGCUCACCCAAUGAGAUGUUCAGUGACCUCAAACAAGAAACUGGUUUUGCAGGGCUGCUCUGUAAAUCAGAUCAACAAAAUGAUCUGUAUUAAUAAAGAACACAAGACCUGUUUUUGUCCUCCCCCCCCC
ensembl:lncRNA